CUGCCAUCAGAUUAACAGUUUUAAGAACUGCAGUGUGGACGAUAAGCUCCUCCUGACGGAAUGAUAAAUCAGGGGUGCGGUUAAAGGUGUGGCUGCACCUGGACGCUCCUCCAUCAUGAAAACUGAAAACCAGGAAACGUUCAGCAGGAUGAAAACAUCAGCUUAGGACACAUGAUGCUUACAGACGGAGUCAUGCAGAAGGGUGGAGCAGGAGAAUUCAGACCCACCCUAAAACCUGCCGGAGUGAGCACACCUUGAUGGGAUCGGACACGUCCAGAUCAUGAGUUACAGGUGUUUGACUUUCUGCUGAUCUACUUGUGGCAGCUGGACUUUAAGAACAAACUCCAUCAAACUAACAAUAAGCUGUCAGCAGAGCUUU